GCUGGAUUGUAAUUGGCCGCUUUCGCUUGUUUGUGGCCCCUGGUGACGGCUCCUCAUAGCAGUGCCAGCUGUCGGGAAGAGGGUCGGUCUGUCCUGCAUUGGCUUGGUGAAGAUUUGAAGAAGAUAUCCUUUGUCAUCAAAAUCAACCAAAAUUUUUAGCUCCUGAAAUAAGUUUUCAAGGUCCCUUUAACCUGUUGCUAUAUUACUCAUUGCUGUUGUAAUGAAAUCCUAGACGUCACCGGAGCAUUGGAGAAAAGAUUUACCGUAGUAAUAAGGGAAUAAAUAGUUCGGAAAGUAUUCAUACCCUUUCACUUUAGUCCACACUUGUUAUGUUGUGGCUUUGUGCUACUGAGAGAGAG